rnacentral:tRNA from 1 species
GAACUAAAUUAUAAUUAAGCUUCUAACUUAAUUUAUAGCAAAUAAAUUGUUAUUAGUUUU